UACGGAGGGUGCAAGCGUUAUCCGGAUUCACUGGGUUUAAAGGGUGCGUAGGUGGGCAGGUAAGUCAGUGGUGAAAUCUCUGGGCUUAACCCAGAAACUGCCGUUGAUACUAUCUGUCUUGAAUAUAGUGGAGGUGAGCGGAAUAUGUCAUGUAGCGGUGAAAUGCUUAGAUAUGACAUAGAACACCCAUUGCGAAGGCAGCUUACUAUGGUUUUAUUGACACUGAGGCACGAAAGCGUGGGGAUCAAACAGG
rnacentral:rRNA from 1 species